rnacentral:rRNA from 1 species
UACGUAGGGUGCGAGCGUUGCCCGGAUUUCUUGGGCGUAAAGGGCGCGUAGGCGGUCACGCACGUCCGUUGUGAAAUCGCUCGGCUCAACUGGGCGGGGUCAGCGGAUACGGCGUGGCUGGAGCAAGCUAGGGGGCAAUGGAAUUCCCGGUGUAGUGGUGGAAUGCGUAGAUAUCGGGAGGAACACCGGUGGCGAAGGCGGGUCUCUGGGCCGAUACUGACGCUGAGGAGCGAAAGCGUGGGGAGCGAACAGG